AACCUAUGAUCAGUGUCCUCUCCACAGUCCCUGAACACACCGACACUAACCAUGGGAUGGAGCUGGGUCUUUCUCUUCCUCCUGUCAGUAACUGAAGGUGUCCACUCCCAGGUCCAGCUGCAGCAGUCUGGAGCUGAGCUGGUGAAGCCUGGGGCCUCAGUGAAGAUGUCCUGCAAGGCUUCUGGCUACACCUUCACUGACUACUGGAUGAACUGGGUGAAGCAGAGGCCUGGACAGGGCCUUGAGUGGAUUGGAAUGAUUUAUCCUGGAGGUGGUAGUACUAACUACAAUGAGAAGUUCAAGGGCAAGGCCACACUGACUGCAGACAAAUCCUCCAGCACUGCCUACAUGCAGCUGAGCAGCCUGACAUCUGAGGACUCUGCAGUCUAUUACUGUGCAAGACACAGUGUUACAACCACGUCCUGA